rnacentral:tRNA from 1 species
GGAAGUAUAGCAUAAUAGAAUGUGUUUCGUUUACAUCGAAAAAAGACCUUUAAAAAGGUUAUUUUCA